AGAAUCAACGCUGGCGGCGUGCCUAACACAUGCAAGUCGAACGAGAAAGUGGAGCAAUCCAUGAGUACAGUGGCGCACGGGUGAGUAACACGUGACUAACCUACCCUUGAGUGGGGAAUAACCUGGAGAAAUCUAGGCUAAUACCGCAUAACACCUACGGGUCAAAGGAGCAAUUCGCUUAAGGAGGGGGUCGCGGCAGAUUAGCUAGUUGGCGGGGUAAUGGCCCACCAAGGCAGUGAUCUGUAUCCGGCCUGAGAGGGCGCACGGACACACUGGAACUGAAACACGGUCCAGACUCCUACGGGAGGCAGCAGUGGGAAUUUUGCGCAAUGGGGGAAACCCUGACGCAGCAACGCCGCGUGGAGGAUGAAGUCCCUUGGGACGUAAACUCCUUUCGACCGGGAAGAUAAUGACGGUACCGGAAGAAGAAGCCCCGGCUAACUUCGUGCCAGCAGCCGC
rnacentral:rRNA from 1 species